CAGCAGCCGCGGGAAUACGGAGGGUGCGAGCGUUAAUCGGAAUUACUGGGCGUAAAGCGUACGCAGGCGGUUUGUUAAGUCAGAUGUGAAAUCCCCGAGCUUAACUCGGGAACUGCAUUUGAAACUGGCAGGCUAGAGUCUCGUAGAGGGGGGUAGAAUUCCAGGUGUAGCGGUGAAAUGCGUAGAGAUCUGGAGGAAUACCGGUGGCGAAGGCGGCCCCCUGGACGAAGACUGACGCUCAGGUACGAAAGCGUGGGGAGCAAACAGGAUUAGAUACCCGAGUAGUCCCUGUCUCUUAUAC
rnacentral:rRNA from 1 species